rnacentral:rRNA from 1 species
UACGUAGGCAGCGAGCGUUGUUCGGAGUUACUGGGCGUAAAGAGUGCGUAGGCGGUUUUCUAAGUUUGGUGUGAAAUCUCCCGGCUUAACUGGGAGGGUGCGCCGAAAACUGGAAGGCUUGAGUAUGGGAGAGGUAAGCGGAAUUCCUGGUGUAGCGGUGAAAUGCGCAGAUAUCAGGAAGAACACCCGUGGCGAAGGCGGCCCACUGGGCCGGUACUGACGCUGAGGCGCGAAGGCGUGGGGAGCAAACAGG